AUUGAACGCUGGCGGCAUGCCUAACACAUGCAAGUCGAGCGAGCGGCGGACGGGUGAGUAAUGUCUGGGAAACUGCCUGAUGGAGGGCGAUAACUACUGGAAACGGUAGCUAAUACCGCAUACCAUCAGAUGUGCCCAGGUGGGAAUAGCUAGUGGGUGGGGUAACGGCUCACCUAGGCGACGAUCACUAGCUGGUCUGGGAGGAUGACCAGCCACACUGGAACUGAGACACGGUCCAGAGUCCUACGGGAGGCAGCAGUGGGGAAUAUUGCACAAUGGGCGAAAGUCUGAUGGAGCAAUGCCGCGUGUGUGAAGAAGGCCUGCGGGUUGUAAAGCACUUUCAGCGGGGAGGCGUUACCUGCAGAAGAAGCAACGGCUAACUCCGUGCCAGCAGCCGCGGUAAUAC
rnacentral:rRNA from 1 species